UGUGAUCAGAAGAUCAUGUGCUGAAGAAAAUUUGAAGAUUUGAAAACUAAUAACUAUUGGUUCUGAUAAUUAGAAAAUAUUGCCAAAAGAAAGUGAAAAAUAAAAGGUGUACUGGAUGCAAUGUGGCCAGUUCUCUGAAGAUCCUGUUAUCUACCAUGGCCUGGCUAACCUGGCUAUGAGAUGCAGUCUUCUGUAUGUGACAUGGCUACUAAAGUCCCGAAGACACUACAGAUUGUAGAGCUGAUUGCCCUCAAAUUCAGAGUUCUUCCUGCUUCUGCCUACCAAGUGCUAGGAUUACAGACAUGAGCCACUACUGCUAUUUAUGGUAAUUCUUAGACAGGAUUUUAUGUUUGCUGCAUGCCUCAAUUUUCUAGUUUUUUCUAACAACUCCAACAAAGAUUUGCCUUAUGGUCUGAUAAGAAUUCUGGGAUGAUCGCUGCAAUGGCUAUUCUUGGUUGUCAACUUGACUGUAUCUGGAAUGCACUCCAAGCCAUAAAUAGAUAUACCUGUGAGCUACAUUCUACUUGGUUUGAAGAGGGUGAAUCCACUUCUAGUCUAAGCCUUUGGGGUAGGAAGACAAACCUUUGAUCUGGAUCUUGUGGCUGGAAGACAUACCUUUAAUCUGGUUAAAAGCCUAUAUACGGAAUGGAAGAAGGAAGCAUUCACUCUUUGUCUGAAUGCCCUUGCUAGCACAUCCAUACCUUCACUGGCAUUGGAAUCCACUUCUUUGGGACUCUGGCAUUAUACAGAAGACCAGCCGAGAUGCAUCCAGCUUUGUGGCACUGAGCAACUACUAGAUUCUUGGACUUUCCAUUCACAACUAACCACUGUUAGAUUAGUUAGACUGCAGCCUCUAAGUCAUUCCAAUGUAUAUAUAUAUAUAUGCAUUUCAUGUGUUCUCUGACUUUAGAGAACUAAUACAGGCACCAAAACAUUUUGAGGCCAUUGCUGAGAACUUUCUUUGCAUGGAUUCUUGGAGUAAAACAGUGAAUUUUGAUGAGGCUGUUUUUGAAAACUAUUGGGAAAUUAUGCAGUCUGGACAAGAAAAAAAAAGAGAGACAUUGCAUUUUCUGUUGUGUUUUCAAUCAAAUAUAGUGCUGUUAUAUUUCAAAACAAUAAUUUGAAUAGGAGAAUUUCAGCUGAUCUUUAAAGUCCCUCUGCUAAAGAAUUAUUAACGAGGUGAAAGGGACCUGGAAGCAGAAUCCUGUGGUAGGUGGUAGGGGCAGUAUUUGUGAAGCUCCUUCCCUAGAUAUAGGACAUGAUAUACGGACCAGGCAAGAGGCCUUCAGAGUAAAGACAGCUUUUAGUUUCAGAGAUUCAAGUUCUGAAGCUAAUGCUUAGAAGAAGGAAGGGCUGGAUUGCUGGGCAUACAUUCAACAUACCCAGCAAUGGCUGGUGAUUCUGACAUCCCUUGAGCUCAUAUUAUUUCACAAGUAUAAUGAAGAUAACACUUAAGACAUGAUUUAGCAGCUUAUGUAUUUUGAAAAGGGCUUUGUGCUUGUUUGAGAAAAUGGACAGGUAAGUGUUCUAAAACCUUCAUCAAGGUGAGCUUAGAAAGUUGGUUCGAGGCCGUCUAUUUUCAGCAUCUUAGGGAGGCAUGUGGAUCUAGAGUUUAAUUGCUUUUCUUGACGUAGAGGCUAACACUGCUCACAGCACUAGGAACUUUCCCAUGUAAAAGUCUUUGAACAUGUUUUUUGUUGUUGUUGUUUUGUUUUUGGUUUUUCAAGACAGGGUUUCUCUGUGUAGCUCUGGCU